UUCGCCUGUUUAUUCAAAAACAUGUCUGUGUGUAUAAAAUAUAAAGUCUAAUCUGCCCACUGAUUAAUUAAAGGGCUGCGGUAAUUUGACCGUGCGAAGGUAGCAUAAUCAAUAGUCUUUUAAUUGAGGUCUUGAAUGAAUGAUUGAACGAAAAAUUAAUUGUCUUUGUUUUAAUAGUAAAAAUUAACUUUUGAGUGAAAAGGCUUAAAUAAUGUAAGGGGACGAUAAGACCCUGUAAAACUUUAUAUAAAUUUAUUUAUUUUUAAAUUAGGUUUAAAAUAAGUUAAUAGAAUUUGUAUUUUGUUGGGGAGAUAUAAAUAGAAUAUUAAAUAUCUGUUUAUAAAAUUUUAUAAAAAUAAUUAGAAUGUGAUCUUUCUUUGGGGAUUAAAAGUGUAAGUUACUUUAGGGAUAACAGCGUAAUUUAUUCUGAGAGUUCUUAUUGACGAAUGUAGUUGCGACCUCGAUGUUGAAUUAAAGUUUUGGUUGGGUGAAGUUGCUAAAUUAGUAGGUCUGUUCGACCUUAAAAAUUUUACAUGAUUUGAGUUCAAACCGGUGUAAGCCAGGUUGGGUUUCUAUCU
rnacentral:rRNA from 1 species